UACGUAGGUGGCAAGCGUUGUCCGGAUUUAUUGGGUUUAAAGGGUGCGUAGGCGGUCUAUUAAGUCAGUGGUGAAAUAUCGCAGCUUAACUGUGAGGGUGCCAUUGAUACUGAUGGACUUGAGUGAAGUCGAAGUAGGCGGAAUUGACGGUGUAGCGGUGAAAUGCUUAGAUAUCGUCAAGAACACCGAUAGUGAAGACAGCUUACUAGGCUUCUACUGACGCUGAGGCACGAAAGUGUGGGGAUCAAACAGGAUUAGAUACCCUGGUAGUCCACACUGUAAACGUUGAUGACUCGCUGUUGGCGAUAUACAGCCAGCGGCCAAGCGCAAGCGAUAAGUCAUCCACCUGGGGAGUACGCCGGCAACGGUGAA
rnacentral:rRNA from 1 species